rnacentral:lncRNA from 1 species
AAAAUUAAGCUCGUGUUCAGCUCAUUAAUAAAUGAAGAUUUGGACAGCAAUAUUCUUAAUAGUAUCAGCUAGGGGUGUCAACGAGCCGAACGCGGGCGAGCUGAUUUGUUAAAGUAUCAAGCCGAAAAAUUAAGCUCGUGUUCGGCUCAUUAAUAAACGACCUGUAUACAAGCUGGCACACGAACAACAAGUUAAAAAAUUUAAAAAUGAUAUGCAUAGAAAAUAAAUUUAUGAGAUCUUAUGCAUUAGACUUUAAUCCAAUGGUUGAAACUUUAUAUAUUAAUGGGACUUUUUAUAACUGAAUUAGGUUUUAUAUUUAUGUUGGGCUAAAAUAAAAUAAUAAAAAUCUGUAUUUUAUAUAUACAAUUAUUUAUUUAUAUAUAUAAAUCUAAAAUAUAUAAACUAUAUAAAUAUAAAAUAUAUGUAUUCAAACUGUUAUCGAACCGAACACGAGCGAGUUGGCCUAAGCUCGUGUUCAGCUUAUUUAUUAAACAAGAAAAAUUCAGCUCGUGUUCGGUUUGUUUAUUAAACAAGAAAAGUUCAGCUCGUGUUCGACUCAUUUACUAAAUGAGCGAUUCGAUCUCGAGUUCAUUUCGAGUUGAACAUGAGCUGGCUCGCAAACAGCGAGUUGGAUUAAUUACCACCCCUAGUAUCAGCUAUGGCUCCGUUAAAUUAUUUUUAUCUUUGGAUCAAUAUUUUUCCACCAACCACCAACUAAACUCUUUAAAUCUAUAUACUCUAGUAGGACCAUUGUCAUCUGAACUCUAUAAUUUUUCAUUCAAAAGUUAUAAAUUUAGUAGUAAAAAAAAUUUAAAUACUAUUAAUAGUAUUUCAGCACAACUUUAUACAUUUAGUUGCAUGCGUGCACAUUGAUAGCAUUUAAAAAAAGGGCUAAAUGCAUUCAUGUCCUUGCAAAAAUAGUAAAUUGCAAAUAUGUCCCAACAAAGUUCAACUUUCAUAAAUUGUUCUUACAAAAGUUUUAAUAUUUUCAAAUAUAUUCCUCUGGCUUAUUAUCGUUAUAAAACUAUUUAUAUUUUAAGUGAAAUGUCAAUUUUGUCAUCACAAAUAUUUUCUUGAAAAAACCACAAUAGUAUAAUAUAAGAGGGGCAAAAAUGUCAAGUUAUUUUAUAAAUUAACUAGAGUUAAACAUUUAACCUCUGGCUAACUAAAGUUUUCUAAUGAAUUCUAACGGCAGUAAUUAUUUGAAAAUAUUAGAAUUUUUAUAUUUACAUGAGCAACAUAUGAAAGUUAAAUUUUGUAGAGAUAUAUUUACAAUUUAGUACGUCUGUAGAGAACUCUGGGGAAGAACAGGUAUUUCGAAAAGAAAAAGAAAAAGGCCAAAAAAAAAAAAAGUAAAAAAAAGAUAAAAAUUUGAAGUAAGA